rnacentral:rRNA from 1 species
UACGUAGGGGGCAAGCGUUGUCCGGAUUUAUUGGGCGUAAAGAGCGUGUAGGCGGCUGGGUAGGUCCGUUGUGAAAACUCGAGGCUCAACCUCGAGAUGUCGGCGGAAACCACUUGGCUAGAGUCCGGAAGAGGAGAGUGGAAUUCCUGGUGUAGCGGUGAAAUGCGUAGAUAUCUGGAGGAACACCGGUGGCGAAGGCGGCGUUCUGGGCCAUUACUGACGCUGAGGAGCGAAAGCGUGGGGAGCGAACAGG